rnacentral:rRNA from 1 species
AUAGAGACUCAGAGCUGCAUAUCAAUAAGCGGAGGAAAAGAAACUAACAAGGAUUCCCUUAGUAACGGCGAGUGAAGCGGGAAGAGCUCAAAUCUGAAAUCUUCAAGGUUCUACCUUGACGAAUUGUAGUUUAAAGAAGUGUUUUCUGUUAGUGGAGUGGCGAAAGUUCUCUGGAAUAGGACAUCAUAGAGGGUGAGAAUCCCGUAUUUGGUCAUUCCUCCUAGCUUUGUGAUACACUUUCAACGAGUCGGAUUGUUUGGGAAUGCAGUCCAAAAUGGGUGGUAAAUUUCAUCUAAAGCUAAAUAUUGGCGAGAGACCGAUAGCGAACAAGUACCGUGAGGGAAAGAUGAAAAGAACUUUGAAAAGAGAGUUAAACAGUACGUGGAAUUGUCAAAAGGGAAGCGUUUGACACCAGUGUUGUUUUUCCGAAAAUCAAUUACGAAUGUUUUGUUUUUAAGAAGUUAUGACUUCAUCGGCUUGCUUCUUUCUUUAUGGAACUUUCUUAAUGCACUUUUCGGUUAACAAGUCAACAUCAAUUUCUUUUGUUGUAAAAGAGGUAUGCGGAAGGUGGCUUUCUUUUCGGAGAAAGUGUUUAUAGCCCUAGUACUUCUAGCAAUCGGAGAGAUUGAGAGUCUGCAGCGUAGAUCCUUCGGGGUUAGAUACAUUUGUGCUAAGUUAUAGCUUUUCAUAGACAACUUGUUGACUAUGUUUAGUCUUGUAGCUUACUCGCUUAUGCUAUUUUACCUACGCUUAGGAUGUUGACGAGACUGUCGAUCUC